ensembl:lncRNA
GUGGACGUUCAGCCUUCAGCUAAGCAGCUUCCUUUGGUUCUAGUGGAUCAUUAAUUAAUGCUUCUGCUGGUUUCAUGGUGUGCAGCUCAGGUGUGUUUUCUUUUAACCUGAAUCAUACCUGUCUGCUGAUCUGGAUUGUUGCUCAGUGCCAGUAAUCUGAUUUUUUACAGGUUUCAGCUCCUUUAUCAGGUCGACAACUGAGUCCAACACAUCAUGGAGACCAGUUCCAGAAGUCUGGAAUCCAUCCUGGAGGCAGCAAUGCUCAGAUCAGCAGGUGUUGACAGAAACCCGUACCUGGCUGGAGGAUACCUGAUAGGAAGCUCCCUGCUGGGCCUCCUCAUCAUCAUCGGGGUCUUCUGGUACCAUCGCAGCAAUCUCAGCCUUUUUAAAAGAUCCUGCAUCAUGUCCUUCACCUGCCAGGAAAACCGCCUCACGGGUGUUCAAGUCGUCUACAACUCUCUGAUGCUUCUGCUCAUCAUGGAUGCUGUGAAUCUGAUCGUGGGAAUAAUCUUGGGAGCUGCAAUGAUUCAAUUGUCCUGCGAUGUAAUCAACUGUGUUCAUGUAGAAAUCGCAUGGUUCCUGUCCAGGUGGUUUGGAGUGAUUAUUCAUCUUCUGAAUGCCUCAUUGUCCAUCUAUCAUCUGCAUCAGAGUGCAACCUUGGUUCCCAACGUCUACGCAUCGAUUUUUGUACUGAAUGUCAUUGUGGUUUCACUGUAUCUACAUGACACCACAGUGACCCUAUUCAUUUUGGCUGUUUUAAUGUUUCUGUUUGCUCUGGUUGUCAUUGUAACAUCUAUAGUGUCUACUUCGCCCCCGCCUACUGCCACCUUGAAGAAACUGAUCAUGGUUGUUGCCAUGUGCAACUUCCUGGUUGUCUACGCCCCCACUUUCAUUCUUCAGUGCCUCCUUUUCAGCUCACAUGACUAUGACGAGUUAGUGUAUUAUCAAAUUAUUUAUGCGAAUGUUCUGGUUUUCACAAACCUUCACCUCAUUUUCAAUGGAUUUCUGUGCGCUUUAAUCCUGAAGUUGCCUUCUGGAGAAGAACAGGAAGAACAGCAAGAACAGUGGCAACAACAAUGGCAACAACGACAACAACAGUGGCAACAACAACAGCAACAACAGUGGCAACAACAACAGCAACAACAGUUGGGUUUCCCAAAUCCAGGAUACACUGUGUCUACAAAUGUAAAUCAAUAAUGAGCAAAAUUAUGUGUCUGCACCAUAAUAAUCAAUGUGUAUCCCAACCACUGAUAGAUAAUCCAGGAUUGUUUCACUAUUCAUAAUUAUUCCUGUCUUCAUGGACUCUACCUGUUGGACAGAAGGAUGCAGCUCCUACUUCAUUCAUGUAAACCCUGAAAUCAAACAUUAAAAUCACCGUUUCACCCUCUAUGCCUGAUUUAAAAUCCAGUACAAAGCAAGAAGAAAUAUGUGAAUAUUUUCAUAAUGUGCUGACAGCGGAGAGCUGUAUAAAAUGAAGUUGAUGAACUUUUCAAAAUAAAACAUCUGUUCAAUUUGCUUGAUUGUCCAGUUAGUUAAAGGUGGAGGGUACAUCUAAAAUAUGUUAGAAUUCCUGCAAUGUUCAACUGCUUUGGAUGUAAACACCCUCAAAUUAAAGCUGAAAGUCUGCACUUAAAGCACAUUGUGUUAUUUCAAACCUUGGUCAUUUGGUAGAUUAGUAGCUAAGGGGGCGAUUACUUUUUCACAUCGGGUAAGAUGGGAUGGACAGUUUUUUUUCUCUCAACAAAUAAAACUCAGAUUUAGAUUACAGACUAGACUAAUAUGGAGAGAACUCAUCUGUUUAGUGACAUCAGAAUAAACUAUAUCUAACCUUGACCAGAGAACAGAGUCCUGACACAUCUUCCUCCUACAGCGUCUGCCUGUCGGAAGAUAAUUUGGGAUGACGUCAGCCAACAGCUGCAAGGUAAUACCUAAAUGGUAUGGAUGGAUUUAAAUAGAAUCACAAAUUUUCACUGUUGGAAAACAUCUCUGAAAUAUAGUAAAAUCAUCAUCAUCACCAUUUAAAGUACAAUCUGUCUUUUAAAUAACAGCAUAAUUGUAUUGUUUAACAGAAAUAUUAAAUUUAUCUACAAUAUCUGGCUUUGACUGUAGAGAUUUCCAUAAGAAAUUAAGGAAAAUUCAAAGUAACUCACAUUUGUCUUGUCAGGGUGGAGUUCUAACUGUUAAAUAACAGCUUCAUGCUGUAUUUAAACUAAGUGGAAAUUUUAGCUUUUCAAAGUUUUUUAAUGAGUUUUAUUGUUUGUUUUUGGUCUGUGUUUUGUUUGACUAAAUUAAGACUCUAAAGUGUUUAAAAAUGAUUUAUACUUGUUAUAAAAUGAUUAAUUCUUGUCAUGGGAAUUUUGUGUAAAAAAAAGUUAUUUUUGUGCAUUUUAGGAAUGUGUUCUCUUCACAUGAAAAGCACAGAAAGGAAUAUGUACAGUCAAGCCUGAAAUUAUUCAUACUUCUAGCAAAUUUUGACUUCAAGGUAGUUUUUUUUCAAAAAGCAAGGGGUUUUUUGGUUGAAAUUGACACAGGUAUUUCCCAAAAGAUAAUAAGAUGAUGUACAAGAGGUAUCAUUGUGGAAAAAAUAAUUUCUCAGCUUCUAUUUACAUUUAAAAGUAACUUUAAGUCAAAAUUUGCUAGGGGUAUGAAUAAUUUCAAGCUUGAUUGUAUGUAUUUAUAGGUAAAGAUCAGCAUGAAAACAUUUUAUUUAACUCACAGCAGUAGAGUUGCGCCCCCUGCUGGUGUACAGCAACACCACUAGAACUGCAGUACACUGUAGUACUGGAAGAGGUUGUAAUAAUGAUGUCAAUGUAGUUUACAGGUUUAGUUAUGAUACAUUCACUGGUGAUUAUUGAAUAUUGGAAAGGAUGUGUCAUUUCACUAUAUAUUAUAAUUAUGCCUCUGAACAUGUUACAUUUUAAUCUGAGC